rnacentral:rRNA from 1 species
UACGAAGGGAGCUAGCGUUGUUCGGAAUUACUGGGCGUAAAGGGUCUGUAGGUGGCCAACUAAGUCAGACGUGAAAUCCCUCAGCUUAACUGGGGAACUGCGUCUGAUACUGGUUGGCUUGAGUGCAGGAGAGGAAUGCGGAAUUCCAGGUGUAGCGGUGAAAUGCGUAGAUAUCUGGAAGAACACCCGUGGCGAAGGCGGCUCUCUGGGACGGUACUGACGCUGAGACGCGAAAGCGUGGGGAGCGAACAGG